rnacentral:lncRNA from 1 species
CCAGGAGUUCUAACCUGUAUGUUUCUCUCUCUCUCUGUUCCCCUACACACAUCCCUCCCAGAUACCGGAGAGAUUGAACUAGUGGCCUUCUCCACCCUGGCUGUGCUGCUGCUGAUGCUACUGGUGAUGGGCACCCUGGCCUGUGCCCGCCAACGUGAGCUAUUCCAGGGCCACCUAUGGCCCCAGGUCCCUGACCCAGCCCUCAGUUUCCUGGACACCUGGAUUCCCCAGACCCCAGGCCUGGGCCCGAUGAUCCCCCCAAAGGAAACGACGCAGAAGCUCAGGGUGAGCUCCUCAGGCACCAGCUCCCCUGCCCGGGAAGAUCUUUCUAAAUGCCUCCCGGAAUGGGACUGGGUGGCUGGGAGUGAAUCCCAGUCACCCAUCCUGGGAAUCCUUGCUGCAGGGCAGGGGUUCUCCCCAGAAAGUUUGCCACCCCCUCUAUCCGGCCAGCGAGAUCCUGGAAUGGUUUACUCCACGGUGGCGCCCGCUGGGUACUGCCCUCCUCAAACCAGCCCUGCCCCUCCCUGGGUCCAGGGGUGCCUGGGGCCUGGCCCCGAGCUUAACCGGGAGGAGCUUGUCCAGGGGUGCCCAACCCUGCCAGGGGCUGAUCCCACCCUGGCUGGGACAUUUCCCCUACUGAUGAAUUUGCUGAUGGACACUGAGGAGACCCAGCCCACCAUCUUCCUUCAAGAGGCCUUGGGUGCUCUGCCACAGCCCCAGCUCUAG